CCAGACUCCUACGGGAGGCAGCAGUGAGGAUUAUUGGUCAAUGGGCGGAAGCCUGAACCAGCCAAGUCGCGUGAGGGAAGAAGGCCCUGCGGGUCGCAGACCUCUUUGGACGGGGAGCAAGGCCGCCGACGUGUCGGCGGAAGGAGAGUACCCGUAGAACAAGCAUCGGCUAACUCCGUGCCAGCAGCCGCGGUAAUACGGAGGAUGCGAGCGUUAUCCGGAUUUAUUGGGUUUAAAGGGUGCGUAGGCGGAUCGUUAAGGCAGUGGAAAAAUGGGGGGCCUCACCCCCUCCCCGCCAUUGAAACUGGCGCUCUUGAGUGGAAGAGAAGUAUGCGGAAUGCGUGGUGUAGCGGUGAAAUGCAUAGAUAUCACGCAGAACCCCGAUUGCGAAGGCAGCAUGCCGGCUUCCGACUGACGCUGAAGCACGAAAGCGUGGGGAUCGAACAGGAUUAGAUACCCUCGUAC
rnacentral:rRNA from 1 species